UAAAAAUCGUAAAAGAAACUCCGGUGCGAGACCACAGCCAAAGGCGGGAAGAGGUCCCGGAUGUGCAUUGUCGUUCUUUCUUCGUGACAGAAAUUUCACAGGCAGACAUGGUACGAAUAUGUAAUGAACAGAUUAUGGACGGUCAAUACUUCUCAAGCUUCUGAAUCGUUUGGAUAUGAAAAUUAUCGUGCUGAAGAUAUUUAUACGUGUCUGGGGGAUCCUACCAGACAACUUGUAUAACCAAUCAGAAACCAGUCUGCGAUUCUCCGCCAAUCAACGAUCAAAUUGGCGUGUUGCUUUCUACCACGUCCGUAAUAGGGAUGUCUGAAUCUUAAUUUGCAUACGGCAGCAUAUAUAAACAUGUUAUGGUGGGUCCGGUGAGGCCGGAGUUGCGUCCUUGACUGGUUUGCGUGGGGUGCGGAUCCAUUGUGUACAGGUGUGAGUUGGACUGUCAGGUUGACUGAGGGACGACGGGACGCUAGAUUCUUGGUCGUUUUGUUAGCAGUGUCUUGUGCUAAGGUAUGUGCACACUUUUAGGUGGUGUGGGUGUGUUAAGUAGUUUUAUUAGUUUGAAACGAUGUAGGUAAAGUUUUUUAAUCAAAUUGUUGCUAUGGUAAAAGCGGUAGUGUGAC